GAGUUUGAUCAUGGCUCAGGAUGAACGCUGGCGGCGUGCCUAACACAUGCAAGUCGAGCGAACCCUUCGGGGUGAGCGGCGGACGGGUGAGUAACGCGUGGGUAACCUGCCCUAUACACACGGAUAACGUACCGAAAGGUACGCUAAUACGAGAUGACAUAUUUUUAUCGCAUGGUAGAAAUAUCAAAGCUCCGGCGGUAUAGGAUGGACCCGCGUCUGAUUAGCUAGUUGGUAAGGUAAUGGCUUACCAAGGCGACGAUCAGUAGCCGACCUGAGAGGGUGAUCGGCCACAUUGGAACUGAGACACGGUCCAAACUCCUACGGGAGGCAGCAGUGGGGAAUAUUGCACAAUGGGCGCAAGCCUGAUGUAGCAACGCCGCGUGAGUGAAGAAGUAUUUCGGUAUGUAAAGCUCUAUCAGCAGGGAAGAAAGGCUCGAAAGAGAGAUGACGGUACCUGACUAAGAAGCCCCGGCUAACUACGUGCCAGCAGCCGCGGUAAUACGUAGGGGGCAAGCGUUAUCCGGAUUUACUGGGUGUAAAGGGAGCGCAGACGGCAGUGCAAGUCUGAUGUGAAAGCCCGGGGCUCAACCCCGGAACUGCAUUGGAAACUGUACAGCUCGAGUAUUGGAGAGGUAAGCGGAAUUCCUAGUGUAGCGGUGAAAUGCGUAGAUAUUAGGAGGAACACCGGUGGCGAAGGCGGCUUACUGGACGACAACUGACGUUGAGGCUCGAAAGCGUGGGGAGCAAACAGGAUUAGAUACCCUGGUAGUCCACGCUGUAAACGAUGAAUACUAGGUGUAGGUACGCAAAGCGUAUCUGUGCCGCAGCUAACGCAAUAAGUAUUCCACCUGGGGAGUACGUUCGCAAGAAUGAAACU
rnacentral:rRNA from 1 species